rnacentral:rRNA from 1 species
UACGAAGGGUGCAAGCGUUACUCGGAAUUACUGGGCGUAAAGCGUGCGUAGGUGGUUUGUUAAGUCUGCUGUGAAAGCCCCGGGCUCAACCUGGGAAUGGCAGUGGAUACUGGCAAGCUAGAGUGCGAUAGAGGGGUGUGGAAUUCCCGGUGUAGCGGUGAAAUGCGUAGAUAUCGUAAGGAAGACCAGUGGCGAAGGCGGGUCUCUGGACAGUUCCUGACGCUGAGGCACGAAGGUCAGGGGAGCAAACGGG